UUCAUGUGUUUGCUCUGAGGUGG
rnacentral:piRNA from 1 species